rnacentral:rRNA from 1 species
AAUGAACGUUGGCGACGUGGAUUAGGCAUGCAAGUCGUUCGCCCCGCGAGGGGCGAGGCGCAAGGGUGAGUAAGGCGACGACAACCAACCCCGAGGGUGGGCAUAGCCGCGGGAAACUGCGGGUAAUUCCCAGCGGAGUCGGAGGGUGGCAUCAUCCACCGACCAAAGGUGCGAUAUCCGCCUCGGGACGGGUCGUCGUGGUAUCAGCUAGUUGGUGGGGUAACGGCCCACCAAGGCGAAGACGCCUACCGGGCGCGCGAGCGUGGCCCGGCACACUGGGACUGAGACACUGCCCAGACACCUACGGGUGGCUGCAGUCGAGAAUCUUCGGCAAUGGGCGCAAGCCCGACCGAGCGACGUCGCGUGGAGGACGAAGGCCUUCGGGUUGUAAACUCCUGUCGAGGGGGAACAAGGGCCGGUGGAGAGCCGGACUUGAGUGAUCCCUGGAGGAAGCACGGGCUAAGUUCGUGCCAGCAGCCGCGGUAA